GAUCAUGGCUCAGGAUGAACGCUGGCGGCGUGCUUAACACAUGCAAGUCGAACGGGAAUUACUUUAUUGAAACUUCGGUCGAUUUAAUUUAAUUCUUAGUGGCGGACGGGUGAGUAACGCGUGGGGUAACCUGCCUUAUACAGGGGGAUAACAGUCAGAAAUGGCUGCUAAUACCGCAUAAGCGCACAGAGCUGCAUGGCUCAGUGUGAAAAAACUCCGGUGGUAUAAGAUGGACCCGCGUUGGA
rnacentral:rRNA from 1 species